CCUACGGGGGGCAGCAGUGGGGAAUAUUGGACAAUGGGGGCAACCCUGAUCCAGCCAUGCCGCGUGUGUGAAGAAGGCCCUCGGGUUGUAAAGCACUUUCAGUGAGGAAGAACGCCUGGUGGUUAAUACCCAUCAGGAAAGACAUCACUCACAGAAGAAGCACCGGCUAACUCCGUGCCAGCAGCCGCGGUAAUACGGAGGGUGCGAGCGUUAAUCGGAAUUACUGGGCGUAAAGCGCGCGUAGGUGGCUUGAUAAGCCGGUUGUGAAAGCCCCGGGCUCAACCUGGGAACGGCCUCCGGAACUGUCAAGCUAGAGUGCAGGAGAGGAAGGUAGAAUUCCCGGUGUAGCGGUGAAAUGCGUAGAGAUCGGGAGGAAUACCAGUGGCGAAGGCGGCCUUCUGGACUGACACUGACACUGAGGUGCGAAAGCGUGGGUAGCAAACAGGAUUAGAUACCCUAGUAGUC
rnacentral:rRNA from 1 species